ACAGAUCUAGAAAAAAAAAAAAUAGAUAGGUCCAAGAAAAUGUGAAGAAAAAAAAUAGCCCGAAUAAGCUGUGGAAUACUACGUUAUCCCCUUGUUUGAACCAUGUGGGGAUGACGUGUUGUCUAAAUAACGAUGAUCAUGAUGAAGAAACUUCCCAAGAGGCAAACAAAAAAGAGCUCAAAAGAAACGGAGAAGUUCAAGAGAGCAAAAAUUCUGAUAUUCACCAUGGCGAGACUAGCAGCGAGCAUGGCUUGAAAACUGAAGUGGAGAAGAUGGGAUAGAUAAUGCAUUUAUGCAAGAGAGAUCUGGGCUGUUGGAGGAGGAGAACAAGAAUCUUCAAGAUGAGCUCUUUGGUAAAUCUUGGAGAGCUCGAAGAAGCCCAGGCUGUGGGAGAUGACUAGACUUCUACUUGCCACACAUACGACUUCAGAGUGUCGAACAUACUCCUGUUCGGCUACUAUCAGAAGGGUCUCUCCGAUACAUUUGAGGCAUUGUUUCUGGAUAUUAUCUAAAGGGCAGAAAUACCGACUUCCCUUAACAAAGUCCAUCGAUUUCCACGGCUUCUUCUUCUCCUAUGAUGUUCAGUCCUUCUUUUGAUAAGUGCUAUUGGAGCACACUUAUCAGCAGCAUGACAUGUUUCUUGAGAACUAGAAGCCAAAAAAGAGUUGUGAAGCAGUUGAUCAUGCUAAGAGAUUGAAGGAGCAUCCAAUGCUUUCGCUUAGUGGGUUUUCAUGUUGACAAUUUGGACUCUUUAUGGUUUA